AUUGAACGCUGGCGGCAGGCCUAACACAUGCAAGUCGAGCGGAUGAAGGGAGCUUGCUCCUGUAUUCCGCGGCGGACGGGUGAGUAAUGCCUAGGAAUCUGCCUGGUCGUGGGGGAUAACGUCCGGACACGGGCGCUAAUACCGCAUACGUCCUGAGGGAGAACGUGGGGGAUCUUCGGACCUCACGCUAUCUGAUGAGCCUAGGUCGGAUUAGCUAGUUGGUGGGGUAAAGGCCUACCAAGGCGACGAUCCGUAACUGGUAUGAGAGGAUGAUCAGUCACACUGGAACUGAGACACGGUCCAGACUCCUACGGGAGGCAGCAGUGGGGAAUAUUGGACAAUGGGCGAAAGCCUGAUGCAGCCAUGCCGCGUGUGUGAAGAAGGUCUUCGGAUUGUAAAGCACUUUAAGUUGGGAGGAAGGGAAGUAAGUUAAUACAUGGAUGUUUUGACGUUACCAACAGAAUAAGCACCGGCUAACUUCGUG
rnacentral:rRNA from 1 species